GACUGGCUCAGCUGGUGAGAGCAUGAUGCUAAUAACACCAAGCUUGUGAAGGUUCAAUCCCUGCACAGGCCA